GACGAACGCUGGCGGCGUGCUUAACACAUGCAAGUCGAACGGAAAGGCCCUGCUUUUGUGGGGUGCUCGAGUGGCGAACGGGUGAGUAACACGUGAGUAACCUGCCCUUGACUUUGGGAUAACUUCAGGAAACUGGGGCUAAUACCGGAUAGGAGCUCCUGCUGCAUGGUGGGUGUUGGAAAGUUUCGGCGGUUGGGGCUGGACUCGCGGCUUAUCAGCUUGUUGGUGGGGUAGUGGCUUACCAAGGCUUUGACGGGUAGCCGGCCUGAGAGGGUGACCGGCCACAUUGGGACUGAGAUACGGACCAGAAUCCUACGGGAGGCAGCAGUGGGGAAUAUUGCACAAUGGGCGGAAGCCUGAUGCAGCAACGCCGCGUGCGGGAUGACGGCCUUCGGGUUGUAAACCGCUUUCGCCUGUGACGAAGCGUGAGUGACGGUAAUGGGUAAAGAAGCACCGGCUAACUACGUG
rnacentral:rRNA from 1 species